GGCGGCGUGGCUCAGCUGGUUUAGAGCGACUGGCUCAUACCCGGUAGGUCGGGGGUUCAAGUCCCUCCGCCGCUA
rfam:Firmicutes bacterium CAG:631 genomic scaffold, scf53